rnacentral:rRNA from 1 species
CAGUCGCCACGGUAACACAGAGGGUGCGAGCGUUAAUCGGAUUUACUGGGCGUAAAGCGUGCGUAGGCGGCUUUUUAAGUCGGAUGUGAAAUCCCUGAGCUUAACUUAGGAAUUGCAUUCGAUACUGGGAAGCUAGAGUAUGGGAGAGGAUGGUAGAAUUCCAGGUGUAGCGGUGAAAUGCGUAGAGAUCUGGAGGAAUACCGAUGGCGAGGGCAGCCAUCUGGCCUAAUACUGACGCUGAGGUACGAAAGCAUGGGGAGCAAACAGGAUUAGAUACCCCAGUAGUCCCUGUCUCUUAUAC